UGGUUCUGUCACCACAGCUCCUACGUUUGC
rnacentral:piRNA from 1 species